AGAGUUUGAUCAUGGCUCAGGAUGAACGCUGGCGGUAUGCCUAACACAUGCAAGUCGAACGGAACCUUCGGGUUUAGUGGCGGACGGGUGAGUAACGCGUGAGAAUCUGCCUUCAGGAUGGGGACAACAGUUGGAAACGACUGCUAAUACCCGAUAUGCAGCGAUGUGAAAGAUUUAUCGCCUGAAGAUGAGCUCGCGUCAGAUUAGCUAGAUGGUGUGGUAAAGGCGCACCAUGGCGACGAUCUGUAGCUGGUCUGAGAGGAUGAGCAGCCACACUGGGACUGAGACACGGCCCAGACUCCUACGGGAGGCAGCAGUGGGGAAUUUUCCGCAAUGGGCGCAAGCCUGACGGAGCAAUACCGCGUGAGGGAGGAAGGCUCUUGGGUCGUAAACCUCUUUUCUCAGGGAAGAACACAAUGACGGUACCUGAGGAAUCAGCAUCGGCUAACUCCGUGCCAGCAGCCGCGGUAAUACGGAGGAUGCAAGCGUUAUCCGGAAUGAUUGGGCGUAAAGCGUCCGUAGGUGGUUUUGUAAGUCUGUGGUUAAAGCGUGUAGCUCAACUACAUAUCAGCCAUGGAAACUACAAGACUUGAGUGAAGUAGGGGUAGAGGGAAUUCCCAGUGUAGCGGUGAAAUGCGUAGAGAUUGGGAAGAACACCGGUGGCGAAAGCGCUCUACUGGACUUAUACUGACACUGAGGGACGAAAGCUAGGGGAGCGAAAGGGAUUAGAUACCCCUGUAGUCCUAGCCGUAAACGAUGGAUACUAGGUGUUGCCCGUAUCGACCCGGGCAGUGCCGUAGCUAACGCGUUAAGUAUCCCGCCUGGGGAGUACGCACGCAAGUGUGAAACUCAAAGGAAUUGACGGGGGGCCCGCACAAGCGGUGGAGUAUGUGGUUUAAUUCGAUGCAACGCGAAGAACCUUACCAAGACUUGACAUGUCUGGAAUCUCUGGGAAACUAGAGAGUGCCUUCGGGAACCAGAACACAGGUGGUGCAUGGCUGUCGUCAGCUCGUAGUCGUGAGAUGUUGGGUUAAGUCCCGCAACGAGCGCAACCCUCGUUUUUAGUUGCCAUCAUUAAGUUGGGCACUCUAGAGAGACUGCCGGUGACAAACCGGAGGAAGGUGGGGAUGACGUCAAGUCAGCAUGCCCCUUACGUCUUGGGCUACACACGUACUACAAUGCUAUGGACAAAGGGCAGCCAACCAGCGAUGGUGCGCUAAUCCCAUAAACCAUGGCUCAGUUCAGAUUGCAGGCUGCAACUCGCCUGCAUGAAGGCGGAAUCGCUAGUAAUCGCAGGUCAGCAUACUGCGGUGAAUCCGUUCCCGGGCCUUGUACACACCGCCCGUCACACCAUGGGAGUUGGUCACGCCCGAAGUCGUUACUCUAACCCUUGUGGAAGAGGACGCCGAAGGUAGGGCUGAUGACUGGGGUGAAGUCGUAACAAG
rnacentral:rRNA from 1 species